UACGUAGGAGGCAAGCGUUGUCCGGAAUUAUUGGGCGUAAAGGGCUCGUAGGCGGUUUGUCGCGUCGGGAGUGAAAAACACCGGGCUUAACUCGGUGCUUGCUUUCGAUACGGGCAGACUAGAGGUAUUCAGGGGAGAACGGAAUUCCUGGUGUAGCGGUGAAAUGCGCAGAUAUCAGGAGGAACACCGGUGGCGAAGGCGGUUCUCUGGGAAUAUCCUGACGCUGAGGAGCGAAAGUGUGGGGAGCGAACAGG
rnacentral:rRNA from 1 species